UCUGAGCCUGAGGACCAAUUGGAAAAGAGAGGCCAGCUGAAGGAGAAGCUAGCUAAGGCCCUACAGCUGGCCUAAUUUACAACUUCAGCUCCAGGAAAGAAAGCUGGUGGACUUUUGCCUUAGGGAGAAGCAGAGAGAUUGGCUGAACAACUUCUUCAGCUCCAGGAGGAGAGUUGAUGAGGGACUCCUGUCUUAAUGAGGGAUACCAGAAGGACUGUUUGAAAUACUGCUCAGCUGUUGCUAAAGAGGACACAGCAUUGCUGGGAACUGCUUUGAGGAAGCUCCUCAGUAGCUGGUUGGGGAAAAGUGCCGAUGAGCCACAAAUACAAGGUUGGGAAUAGGGGAGUUACCAGACCUGUGGAAGAUGCUGACAAACAGGAAAAAGAUGAGGAAUCAAAGGAGCGGAGAGGUAGGGUGACAGAUUGUGGCAAUUGGGAGUAGAACCCAGGCCUCCUGCCUCCCAGUCCUUGGCUAUCAGCACUGUUACUGCCCUGGAGCAAUAAAAUGUGAGAUGGCCCCCAGCAAUGAAAAUGACAACAGAAGAAAAACUUUGAACUUCCCCAGAACAGAAAUUCCAAUUCCUGCACAGCUCUAGUAUAGGAUACUAUUGUGUGACACCUGCUAUUUGAGCUGACUCCAGGGAUUCAACUGGGUAUCUCCAGAGGUGAAAGCAUAAGUCUCUACAGCUUGAGUUUAAGAACCAGACUCUCAAGCUGAAAAAAGAAGUAACAGACUUGCAUCUUCUGUGGAUCAAGCACAGAGGAAGAUCUGUAAUACACACUGACCAGUUGUUCGUUUUUCUCCAAGUGACCGGUAACACUUGUUCAACUUUUCAUGAAAAACUCAUUCGGUACAAUCUAAACUAGAAAAAAUCCUCCUCCCCAAGAAAUACACAUCUGUCACUGCUGAGCCAGAAACUGGCAGUAGUGACAACAGCACACAUUUAAAAAUGUGAACAAUUGUCUUUUGUAGAAGUAUUUUGCCACCCUAAAACGUCUUGCUAUAACAAUGUCUGGUUUUUGUUUUUGAAAACAUGGUCAGAUAAUGAAACAACUGGGCCUUUAUGUAAUGAACAGAGAGUGUGAAUAUGUAAAACUGCAUCUGAUAAUGCUGACUUUUAGUGAUGUAGAGAGCUGAAUGGAAAAAUAUAGGGGG